rnacentral:rRNA from 1 species
UACGGAGGGUGCAAGCGUUAUCCGGAUUCACUGGGUUUAAAGGGUGCGUAGGUGGGUUGGUAAGUCAGUGGUGAAAUCUCCGGGCUUAACCUGGAAACUGCCAUUGAUACUAUCAAUCUUGAAUACCUUGGAGGUGAGCGGAAUAUGUCAUGUAGCGGUGAAAUGCUUAGAUAUGACAUAGAACACCAAUUGCGAAGGCAGCUCACUACACGGUCAUUGACACUGAGGCACGAAAGCGUGGGGAUCAAACAGGA